rnacentral:rRNA from 1 species
AUGGGCUGCGCGUUCUCGUCGUCGCCGUCGCCACGGAAGCGUGAGCAGCGCGCCCAAGGGUACGAGGAGCCCGCCGUCCUCGCCGCCGAGACCUCCUUCACGGUGAACGAGGUGGAGGCGCUGUACGAGCUCUACAAGAAGCUCAGCUUCUCCAUCUUCAAGGACGGCCUCAUCCACAAGGAGGAGUUCCGGCUGGCUCUGUUCAGGACCAGCAGAGGGGCGAACCUGUUCGCGGACAGGGUGUUCGACCUCUUCGAUCUCAAGCGCAACGGCGUGAUCGAGUUCGGCGAGUUCGUGCGCUCGCUCAGCAUCUUCCACCCCAAAGCGCCUGAAUCUGAAAAGACCGCGUUUGCAUUCAAGCUGUACGAUCUGCGGGGGACAGGCUACAUCGAGAAAGAAGAGCUCCGGGAGAUGGUGGUGGCGCUUCUUGAUGAGUCCGACCUAUGUCUCUCCGAUAGCGCCGUCGAGGAGAUUGUCCAUAAUACGUUCAGUCAAGCAGACUCGGAUGGUGAUGGCAGGAUAGACCCCAAGGAGUGGGAGGAGUUUGUCAAGCAGAACCCAGCGUCGCUGAGGAACAUGUCACUGCCCUAUCUCCAGGACAUUACGACGACAUUUCCGAGCUUUGUAAUGCAUUCCGAAGUCGAAGACUACAGUGGAAUCAGCAAAUAA